rnacentral:rRNA from 1 species
AUACGUAGGGUACGAGCGUUGUCCGGAAUUAUUGGGCGUAAAGAGCUCGUAGGUGGUUGGUCACGUCUGCUGUGGAAACGCAACGCUUAACGUUGCGCGUGCAGUGGGUACGGGCUGACUAGAGUGCAGUAGGGGAGUCUGGAAUUCCUGGUGUAGCGGUGAAAUGCGCAGAUAUCAGGAGGAACACCGGUGGCGAAGGCGGGACUCUGGGCUGUAACUGACACUGAGGAGCGAAAGCAUGGGGAGCGAACAGGAUUAGAUACCCUGGUAGUCCAUGCCGUAAACGUUGGGCACUAGGUGUGGGGGACAUUCCACGUUCUCCGCGCCGUAGCUAACGCAUUAAGUGCCCCGCCUGGGGAGUACGGUCGCAAGGCUAAA